GAUGAACGCUGGCGGCGUGCCUAAUACAUGCCAGUCGAGCGAACGGACGAGAAGCUUGCUUCUCUGAUGUUAGCGGCGGACGGGUGAGUAACACGUGGAUAACCUACCUAUAAGACUGGGAUAACUUCGGGAAACCGUAGCUAAUACCGGAUAAUAUUUUGAACCGCAUGGUUCAAAAGUGAAAGACGGUCUUGCUGUCACUUAUAGAUGGAUCCGCGCUGCAUUAGCUAGUUGGUAGGGUAACGGCUUACCAAGGCAACGAUGCAUAGCCGACCUGAGAGGGUGAUCGGCCACACUGGAACUGAGACACGGUCCAGACUCCUACGGGAGGCAGCAGUAGGGAAUCUUCCGCAAUGGGCGAAAGCCUGACGGAGCAACGCCGCGUGAGUGAUGAAGGUCUUCGGAUCGUAAAACUCUGUUAUUAGGGAAGAACAUAUGUGUAAGUAACUGUGCACAUCUUGACGGUACCUAAUCAGAAAGCCACGGCUAACUACGUG
rnacentral:rRNA from 1 species